rnacentral:lncRNA from 1 species
AUGUUGGUACUUACUGGGGCAAGUGCAGGGAGGGGUCCAUACUGAGAAGAUGGUAAAAUUUUGGGCGUAAUUAAAACAAAGAUUGUCUAUUGGAGCUUAUGGCGGGCCAUUUUGAUUUACAUUCCAUUCUCUAGUUUGUUUGUUGUUUAGACUGUACAUAUACCAGCACGAAUUAGAUACAACCUGUGACUGGCAUUUAAUAUUGCUUUGAAUGUCAUGGCUUUUUGUGACUAGAUUGAGAUACACUGGAUAGAGGUUAUUUCUACGGUUUUUCUUGCUAUUUUACAGUCAAAUGUAAUAUUAUGGGGUCUUCAUUCAAGUUUUCGCCUACUGUAUUUAUCUUUGGCGCUGUAUUUAUCUUACCAGGCAGUUGUUUUGCAUUGGGCCACUCCUUAACUCUCCGAGCAGGUGUGUUGUUUUGUGGAGCCACCCGUUAAUGACUAGUCCACUGAAAUUAGAUGUUCCAUUUCAUUUCAUUUCAAUUUGUCCUCGCUGCAUUAUCCUGAAACGAGGGAAGCGAGAGCGAGGAAGCUCUGGUUUGAGCGGUGUAGAGCUGGAGCUGUAGUCGCCGGCGGCGGAGAGCGAUGAGUGGAGGAUUAGACAGCAGCUUUGUCCUCUUAGUGUUGUUCUCGGCUAUAUUUUUUUCUGCUGGUUCCCCUUCUCUAAAUGUUUCUCCCCAGUUGAUUUUUGUUUGAGCGGCGUAGAGCCGGAGCUGUAGGUGCCGGCGGCGGAGAGCGACCUUGUGUGUGCGGUUGUUGCUUUCUUGAAGCUUUCUUAGUGUAAUUGUUCGCAUUCUCUCUAGCAGGGUAAUUGUUGAUGAUUGUUCUUUGUAACUAGUGUUAUUCCAUGGAGUAACUGUAUGAUAUACAUGUGCGUGUGUGUGUGUGUGUGUGUUGAGGGGGUAGUUCUGUGUUAGUGAUCACUAAUUAGUGUUUUGUUUGUAGUGUGACUUCAUGUAUAUGUUUGCAAUGUUGCUGCAGUGUAACUUUGGGUGGGAUUGAGUCAGAUUGAUAUGUUUUGUAUUAUCCACUUCAAUUUCUACAAGUCCUAGUAAUCUUAGCACUAUAAUUAAUGAUCCCUGUUAGAUAGGCUGUUUUGUAUGAUCCAGUUUCCAAUUUCCCCAUGUAAUCUUAACAACAGUUGUCUCAAAGUUGAAAACCCCACGAUUCUCCUGGUUUAAUACUGCAUCCUUUACAACCUUUUCAUUUGGUUUGUCUUUGUUGGUUAAUAUUGCAUCCUUUUAGAACCUUUUCAUUUUGGUUUUUAUUUUUCGUUCAGGAAUACUGCAUCCAUUUUUAGCUCCAUUUUAUUGGUUUUUGUCAUUGUUGGAAAAUACUGCAUCCAUUUUUGAACUAUUUCCUUUUUGGUUUAUGUUUUGAUGGGUAGUGCUGCUUCCUUUCUAGUUGUUGGAUAGCUAUUUUUGGUUCACUUUACUUUGUAAUCGAAGACAAAUAAACCAAAAAUGAUAUGCAUUCAAAGCUUUUUUGAUGGAAUUUCAGUUUCCUAUCUGUUGUACUUACUGUUCACAUGCCUCUGUAAUUUAAGUUGCCUGCCACUCUAAUUUCUCCUGCUACUAUGAGAAGAGAUAAGAUACUUGUAGUUACUAGACAAGUUUCAUAAGAGAAAUGCUUAACUAUACUUGUAGUUACUAGCCAAGUUUCAUAACAGAACUGCUUAACUAUACUUUUAGUUACUGCAUAUCAUGUUAGAUUGGCUUCAAAAAAAUGGCAGCAUAGAUUAAUAAUUGUCUAAUUGGCAUUUUUAUGUUUGAUCCAGUGAUCCAGCAUAGAUUAGUAAUGUUGUUAGUUCAUUUGCAAGUACCUGGCUGGCGCGAGCGAGCCAAUGCUGUUCUAACAUUUUAUCUUGAUCAGGAUUGCUUGCAACUCCCUUGCCGGUCAUCAUGGCAAAUCCCCACUGGACUACCCGCAACUGAAGAAGGUUCAGAAUGCCAUCCGUGAUUUGUUUGACAAGGUUGCUUCAGAGAUACAUGGUUUUAAGGGCCACCCAUACCUUCUCGAAGAAGUGGUUAUUCUUGCCCCAGAGCCCGCGCCUAAGAGCUCUCGCAAGUCCAAGCAAAAAGCUAAGGGAGCGUUCGGAAUCCCUCCACUCCCGAGUCAGCUCGCGGAGCCGGCGGAGCUGCAGGCUGAAAAGGUGGAGCUGGGAUAUACGCGCUCCGCAGAUCCGCGGAGCUGGCGGAAGGCCGAACAGGCCCUAAGAAGAAGAAGUGAAAAUGAAGCCACUCUAAAUCUCAUACGCCUAAGAGCUCUCUGAAGACAAGCAAAACCAGAAGAAGUGAAAACGAAGCCUCUAAAUCUCAUACCAGUUUUGGCAAGACUUCUAUCAUCUUGAGACUGUUAUCAUGCUUUCUCAGUUUUAAGUUUCUUGUCGAAUGCUAUUAUUGGUUCUUUUCACUAUCGGUUUUGUGAAUCACAUACAAAGCUGGGAUGGAAGAAUGAAAUGUCUGGAUCGUCUUUUGGUUUUUUGUGACCCUAUGAUGAUGUGACGUUUAGUUUCAGUUUUCAGUUAUUACCGUUUGUUGUUUUAACCGUGAUCUGCUCAUCUGCAACACGACGUGCUCCUGAUGUGUGGUUUACUAUCGGUUAGUAUUACCGUUGGUCGCGCUGGGGCUAGCUGGCGUGCUGAUGGGCGGGAGCAGCAUCGUUUGCAGAGUCCUUGGCUUAUUUCGUGCGCGAGUCGGGGUGUUCGAUCUCAUUGCUCGCGCGUAGGGCUUAGAAUGAUUGCAAAAGCGCGUAAGUCGGGUUGCCCUGUGGGUCUUUGAUCUUUAGCAUCUUUAGCAGAUUCCGCGACCUGCCGUCUUCAUGUACAGUAUCCCGUAAACGUUUUUUUGCAGGACGCCGGGCGCACAACCAGAACAGAACUUGCAUAUCAAUCCUGCAAGUCUGAACAUACUAGUUCCCGCUAAAAACAUCUCGCUGGAGUUCAUCACAAGCAUAGCAUAGGAGAGUUUUUAAUACAAACCGAAAUUAAACACUACAGAUAUUAAACAUGCAUAUCAUAGAUCUACUCGUCACCAGAGUCGCUUCGCUGCCGUCGCGGGGCAGAGGCUCAUUGACGUGGAGGGUGUGGUAGAUAAGUGUGCCAGAGAGGGUCGCCGCGAGCUGGUACUCCUCCUGGAGCGCCGACAUGCGCGGCCGCAGCUGCAUCUCCGACCGCGGCAGCCUGCUUCGCCUCAAACCACGCGUGCUCGGCCACCCUGUGGCGCUGGAGGGCCGGAUCGAAGAGGUUGUCGAGGCGACGGAAAUUCGCCAAGCCCGUGAUCCGGCGCUGGGCAUGCCGCCUCACUUUGUCUGUCGGACACGGGAGGGCGGAGGCUGGAGCCGCCGGCCUUCUCGUCGUUGCAACGCUUGCGGCCGGUGAUCCCGCCGCGGCUGCCGAACCGUCCGCGGCACCCGAACCCAUCGUGAUCGCAGAACCCCCUGUCGCCGCCGCACCCUCGCACCCGCGGACGCCAUCGCCGCCAAGAUCUGGUGGAAAACCUUGCCGCAAAACGCUGUCGGAGCUCACUUGAUUUCUCGUCGGAGUAGAUGAAACGCGGCGGAGAGCGGAUGCCCUAAAUCGCCCAAGCGCGGGCAUAUAUAGCGGUUUUUUUUGAAAAGGAGGUUAAGGCCCCCGGCCUCUGCAUCAAUCGAUGCAUACAACCAUCUUUAUUUAUUAUUCAACAUGGGUCUAACAAGAACAUACAUCAAGCCAUCCGAAGCCAUCACUCAUACCUACAAAACUUGAUAAUGUGGAGUGCUCUCACUCCCCAUAUCUAGAACCGGUGCCAUCACCGAUCCAUCCACAUAAUGUAUUGGAACCCACAGCCGGUGCAGCAGGCCUAAAGUGUAAACCACAUGCACACGUUUUAGACGCCACCACCAUCAUCGAACCGCUGACCCAUCUUCAGAAGAGAGAUCUACAUAAUCCUUGCUAGUUUGUCCAUCCAUCUGCAUAAUCCUACUAUUAUUCGUAUAAAUCCAGCAGCCGAACAAAUUCGACCCAGAAAAGAAUACCCAAGGCCACAUGCCUCGGGACAGUAACUCCACCCAACAUCCACCAACCCUAUGGCAAAAGACUGAAAUAAAAUGAAAAAUACACAACCUUCAAGAAGGAAUCACCGCACGUGAACCAAUGAUGACGAGUCCAACCCAAGGUCAGUCUUGGGAUUUUCAUCCCAAGGCCAAGCUUCAAGCCACCACCUUCAGCAAGGGCACGGCUCAUGCACGUCUUGGCAUAUCUUGAUAGGAGAUCUAGUGUUCCUGCUGGAGUUCGUGGUACUUCUUGAGCUUGCGUUGUUUUUUCCCUUGAAGAGAAAAGGGUGAUGCAGCAAAGUAGAGAUAAGUAUUUCCCUCCGUUAGAGAACCAAGGCAUCAAUUCAGUAGGAUACAGCGCACAAAUCAUCAAUACCUGCACAAACAAUUAAACAACUUGCACCCAACGCGAUAAAGGGGUUAUCAAUCCCUUCACGGUUACUUGCAAAAGUGAGAUCUAAUAGAGAAAGAUGAAACUAAACAAACGAUAAAGUAAUAUUUUUGGGUUUUUGGUUUAUAGAUCGGAAAGUAAAAGAUUGCAAAAUAGUAGAUCGGAAACUUAUAUGACAGAAAAUAGACCCCGGGGCCAUAGGUUUCACUAGAGGCUUCUCUCAAAAUAGCAAUAACACGGUAGGUGAACAAAUACUGUCGAGCAAUUGAUAGGAAAACGCAAAGUUAUGACGAUAUCUAAGGCAAUGAUUAUGAAAUAUAGGCAUCACGUCUGUGUAAGUAGACCGAAACGAUUCUGCAUGAUCUACUAUCACUAGUGCAGAACCGGGCAAUAGCACCGGUUCGUAAGACCCUUUAGUGCCGGUUCGGUAACCGACACUAAAGUUUGGGCACUAAAGCCCCCCCCCCNNNNNNNNNNNNNNNNNNNNNNNNNNNNNNNNNNNNNNNNNNNNNNNNNNNNNNNNNNNNNNNNNNNNNNNNNNNNNNNNNNNNNNNNNNNNNNNNNNNNNNNNNNNNNNNNNNNNNNNNNNNNNNNNNNNNNNNNNNNNNNNNNNNNNNNNNNNNNNNNNNNNNNNNNNNNNNNNNNNNNNNNNNNNNNNNNNNNNNNNNNNNNNNNNNNNNNNNNNNNNNNNNNNNNNNNNNNNNNNNNNNNNNNNNNNNNNNNNNNNNNNNNNNNNNNNNNNNNNNNNNNNNNNNNNNNNNNNNNNNNNNNNNNNNNNNNNCCCCCCCCCCUUUAGUACCGGUUCAGCACGAAUCGGUGCUAAAGGGCAAUCACGUGGCACGAGCCAGGCCACGGGUGCGGUAGAUCAUUAGUACCGGUUGGUAACACCAACCGGUACUAAAUGUUUGUGGGUUUUGGUUUUAUUUUUUAUUUUUCCUUUAAAUUUGUGUUAUCAAUUUAAUUUAGGAUUGUUUUACGUUAUAAUGAGUUGUUAUACUUGAUAUGGAUAUGGAUAUGGCAUAUAUAUAUACUUGAUCACUUAGCUAGGAUCCAUCUAGUUCAAACUAAUUUGCGGUUUCUUUCAUAAAUGAUAUAUAUAAUAACUCAUCACCAUCAUCAUCACAUAUUAAUAUAGAAAUAAACUCUUGCAUCAUAUCAUCACCAACAACAGUAUAUAUAUAUAUAUAUAUAUAUAUAUAUAUAUAUAUAUAUAUAUAUAUAUACUAGCUAGCUAAAAAUCAUCGUAGUCGUCAUUACCACUAUUUAUCACAUCAUAGUCAUUACCGCUAUCUAAUCACCACCAACACUAGCUUAAAGAAGAAACAUUCACUUGUAACAGAAGCAAAGAUAUCAUCGAGUUCAACAUGGUCAUGAUAUUAUAAGCGUUCACAAGCAAAUCACUAUUUGAGAUUAAUUAAGUUCAGGACGAGAAUACGAACAUGACAGGACAAGUACUAAGAGCACGAACUAGCUAAAUCACUCCUGCUGCUCCCUCUCAGGUAAAAUAGCAUAGAACAUGUAUAGCUCUCCUGAUUCAUCAUAUUGGAGUAUGCAGAUGAAUCUGUCUCCUAAUCGUGGGUUGCGCUUGUCCUUGCUGCCCCCUAGUACUUCUCUGCGAUCGUUAACAAUUUUGCUCCAAUCUUUCACUAUUAAGCAUUCACCGCUUUCAGAAAUCCUGAAUGCACUCAUGUGCAAUGUAGGAUAUCUUGGUCGUAAGCUAACCAUUGAUAUGCGACCUUUUGUCUUGAUCCACUAAGGCACAACUGUCAUGGGGAGUUACUGUAAAAGAACAUCGUAUAAUAAUUAAUAUACUUAGCAAUGAAAGUUUAGCUUCAAAAAUAAUGUAGGCAAAAAAUGCACUAAGGACAAAUAGUAAAAAUCUUACCAUCUUUCCAUUAUAGAUGUGACCGUAGUUCAAUAUGAUCACUAUUGGUCGCACGUUUUGAGUACUAACAUUUCUAAGUGCAGGAAGAAAAUUUUUCUUGACAGUAUGAAGAUCCUCAAGCCAUGAAACAUAAUGACUUAUCUCCUCGCAGUUUAGUCCAGCCCCGGAAUAGUAGUAGGUCCUGUCUACCGAGCGCCGGACAUGUUUGCUUGAACCGAAAUAAGCUGACAAUAGAAAUUAGUUGUCAACUAUUUUUGAAUAAACAAUAUCAAAGACAUAAACAUGGUUGAGAAAAACUCAUAUAAUGGUAGAACUGGAGGCGUCUGCACAUCGACCCAGAUGUCUCUAUUACCUUCAAUAUCAUCUUCUGGACGAAUAUCAAAGGUGAUAACCAUAUCAGGCUCAAAUGCAUAAGCCUUGCAUAGUGCUUGCCAAGUUUUGCAUUCACAAUGGGUGUAUGUGUCUGCAUUGUAUAAUUUGACAUUGAAAGUAUACCCAUGCUCGGUCUUCAAGUAAACUCUCUUUACCUCCAUAUCAUUCAUCGCAUUGAAACCUAUCUUAUCCAAGGCAAAAAUUCGAGCAUGGCAGGGGAUGCGCUAGUAGAAUAGUGAAAAUUUAAAAUUAUAAGUUCAAGCAAAUGAAGCAUAAGUCAUGCUUUAUUACGAAAAAUACUUGCCGCUGUGACUUACUGUAUCCACUUCGAAUGUCUCAUCUAGCUUGAUGCUGAAGCGCCUAUUAUCAACAAGGAAAUUUCUGUCGCACAGGCCACGUUGGUCUUCACAGUGUUCGCACAUAAUGAAAUCUUUUUCAUCGUCAGACGACAUUUCCUAUGUUCAUAUAGGUGAAACAUUAAACACUUACUAUCUAACAUUAAUUAAUAUCUAACUAAUUUUAAUAUUCAUCUAACAUUUGACAUUAAUAUCUAACAUAUAUUNNNNNNNNNNNNNNNNNNNNNNNNNNNNNNNNNNNNNNNNNNNNNNNNNNNNNNNNNNNNNNNNNNNNNNNNNNNNNNNNNNNNNNNNNNNNNNNNNNNNNNNNNNNNNNNNNNNNNNNNNNNNNNNNNNNNNNNNNNNNNNNNNNNNNNNNNNNNNNNNNNNNNNNNNNNNNNNNNNNNNNNNNNNNNNNNNNNNNNNNNNNNNNNNNNNNNNNNNNNNNNNNNNNNNNNNNNNNNNNNNNNNNNNNNNNNNNNNNNNNNNNNNNNNNNNNNNNNNNNNNNNNNNNNNNNNNNNNNNNNNNNNNNNNNNNNNNNNNNNNNNNNNNNNNNNNNNNNNNNNNNNNNNNNNNNNNNNNNNNNNNNNNNNNNNNNNNNNNNNNNNNNNNNNNNNNNNNNNNNNNNNNNNNNNNNNNNNNNNNNNNNNNNNNNNNNNNNNNNNNNNNNNNNNNNNNNNNNNNNNNNNNNNNNAACUAAUUAAUUCAACUAAUUAAUUCAACAAGUUCUAUUAAUUAUUCAACUAGUUCAAAUCUCAUAUACCUAAUUAAUAUCUAGCUAUAUUCAUCUCUAACAAUUGACAUUAAUCUAACAUUCGAUCGUCUAAUUAACUUUUCUAAAAAACAGAUAACAGAAAAUAUAAGUAAAAAAUGUGUAUGUGUGUAUGUGUGUGUAUUGCGUGUAUACGUAUGUGUGUGUGUGUAUGUGCAGUACGCCGCGCCCCGUACGCCGCCGCUCCGUACGUACGAGCGGGGGCGCCGGCAUACGGGGCGGGGGCAGUGGCGUACGUACGGGCCGGCCGGGGCGCACGGGUGCGAGGAGAGAGACGUACGGGCGGCGCCGCGGCGACGACGACAGACGGCGGCGGUGUUUGGGGCAGCGGCGCGAGACGACGACGACGACGACGGGCGGGGGCGGGGGACAACAACGACAACGACGGACGACGGGCGACGGGCGGCGGGCGGCGACACGACGGGAUCGAGCGGCGCGGUUGGAGACGAAGUGGGGGAUAAAACUGAAAUUUUUGUAAGUGCUAUAUAUAUAGGAUGGGUCUUUAGUACCGGUUGGUGGCUCCAACCGGUACUAAAUGCCUAUUUUCGCCAGGCCAAGAGGCGGGAAGAACAGGCCUUUAGUACCGGUUGGUGGCUCCAACCGGUACUAAAGGUCACCCUUUAGUACCCGUUGGAGCCACCAACCGGUACUAAAAUUGGUGCGCUGCCUGCACAAAGUUUAGUCCCACCUCGCCGGGCGAAGGGCAGCCGCACUGGUUUAUAAACCCAGCUGUGACUGCCCUUUCGAACUCCUCUAUAUGCAGGCUUCUGGGCCUAACUACGGCGCGCUGCCCUGUGAGUCUGCUGGGCCUUGUGGGCCUGAAAUUGCACGCCCGUGGUCUAGCAGGCCCACAGGGCAGCGCCCCAAAUUUAUUUUCUUCUAUUUAUUUCUGAGUAGUUUUUUAUUUUCUGCUAUAUUUAUUUUCUUCUAUUUAUUUCUGAGUAGUUUUUUAUAUAGUUUUUUUCUUUUCUACUAUAGUUUUUUUUCUCUGCUAUUUUUUCUUUUCUGCUUUAUUUAUUUUCUUGUAUUCAUUUAUUUUUAUAUACCAUGCCUUUCGGUGUAACAGAUGAGUUUUCGUCUGAAACCGGCCCUGAUACUUUGAAAGAGAUUGUCCAGUUUGUACAUGAACUGCAUCUAGUUUUUGCCAUAAUAGAAGAAGUCCGGAGUUGCAAUAAGUUAUUAAAAAUAAAAAAGAGGUGCAAUGCUCGCUAAUUAGCUUCAAGCCUUUUGGAAUAGUGUAAACUGCACUGCACAUAGCUCCGUGCAGUCUACCAUAUUCCUCAAGGCUUGAAGCUAAGCAACGUGAGCAUUGAGCCUCUUCUUCAUCGUCUCUACACUCAGGGCUUAUAAACCGCUCCUAGUCCCUCUCUCUUGGCGAGGUGGGACUUACAAACAGCUUACUAAGAAACUGUAGUACUGGUCACCCUUUAGUACCGGUUGGAGCCACCAACCGGUACUAAAGGUGGUUCGCUGCCUGCACAAAGUUUAGUGUCAUUUAGCUCAAAACAAAUCAUUAAAUGCAUGAAAAAUAUCAAAUGAAGGCAGAAAUGGUUGAAAGAUGAUGGCGUCGCUUUGAAUGGUGCAUACUGAAUGCACAAAAAGUCUGGAGUUGUAAUAAGUUAAAAAAAUGAGAUGCCUUUGUAACAGAUGAGUUUAAUUUCGUCAGAAACCCGAAUACUUCGAAAGAGAUUGUCCAGUUUGUACACGAAGUGCAUCCAAUUUUUGCCGUAACCCUCUCUACUUUUUUGAACAAUCUAUGUGGGUGAAAUGAUGAUACCAUGCCAAGUUUCAACUUUUUCAGAGUUCAUUUGUAGUGCUUUUCAAUUUCCAGGUCAUUUAGUUCUCAAAACAAAUCAUUAAAUGCAUGAAAAAUAGCAAAUGAAGGCAUAAAUGGUUGAAAGUUGAUGGCGUCGCUUUGAAUGGUGCAUACUGAACGCAAAAAAUAUAAGAGCAUUUAGAUCAUGAUCUUAUAUUUCUUUACAGUCUGAAUUGUCAAUAUGAUCUUAUACAUCAAAAAUACUUUGAUCAUCAAUGAUCUUUUUGUGUACAAUCUGAAUUGUCAAUAUGAGUCCUCAACGAUUUAUAAACCGGUGAAGACUCAUAUUGCGGCCACAAAUUCUACACAUAGAGUUCAAUGAAGACCAAGUGCUUGUGAUAGUUUGAGAAUAAACAUAUUUAAGGUGAUAAAAGCCUUGUUAGGGGAGCGAGGUGGGACUAAAAACAGCUUGCCAUAACCUCAUUAGUACCGGUUCGUGGUACGAACCGACACUAAAUGGUGAUGGUGGGGCCAUAGCCUAACCGCAGGCUGCCACAACCUCUUUAGUACUUGUUCAUGGCAUGAACCGGUACUAAAGGUUCGCCACGAACCGGUACUAUUGAUCGCCGCCACGAACCGGUACUAUUGAUCACAUUAGUGCCGGUUUUUUACAAACCGGCACUAAUGUGCUUCACAUUUGACCCUUUUUAUACUAGUGUAUUACUCCACACAUCGACUGACUCCUGCCUGCAUCUAGAGUAUUAAGUUCAUGAAGAACAGAGUAACACAUUAAGUAAGAUGACAUGAUGUAGAGGAAUAAACUCAAGCAAUAUGAUGUAAACCCCAUCUUUUUUAUCCUCGAUGGCAACAAUACAAUACGUGCCUUGCUGCCCCUACUGUCACUGAGGAAGGACACCGCAAGAUUGAAUCCAAAACUAAGCACUUCUCCCAUUGCAAGAAAAACCAAUCUAGUUGGCCAAACCAAACCGAUAGUUCGAAGAGAACUACAAAGAUACCAAAUCAUGCAUAAAAGAAUUCAGAGAAGAUUUAAAUAAUAUUCAUAGAUAAGUUGAUCAUAAAUCAACAAUUCAUCGGAUCUCGACAAACACACCGCAAAAGAAGAUUACAUCGGAUAGAUCUCCAAUAACAUCGAGGAGAACAUGAUAUUGAGAAUCAAAGAGAGAUAAGAAGCCAUCUAGCUACUAGCUAUGGACCUGUAGGUCUAUGGUAAACUACUCACGCUUCAUCGGAAGGGCAAUAGAGUUGAUGUAGAAGCCCUCCAUGAUCGAAUCUCCCUCCGACAGGAUGCCGGAAAAGGCCCCUAGAUGGGAUCUCACGGAACAGAAGGUUGCGGCGGUGGAAAAGUGUUUUCAUGGAUACUUCUAGUGGUUUGGGAAUAUAUGUGAAUAUAUAGGCAGAAGAAUUAGGUCAGGGGAGUCACGAGGAGCCCACAAGGCAGGGGGCGCACCAUACCCCCUAGGCGCGCCCUCCCCCCUUGUCGCUGCCUCAUGGCUCUUCCGAUUGAUCUCCAAGUCUCUGGGGUGUCUUCUGGUCCAAGAAAAAUCAUCGCGAAGGUUUUAUUCCGUUUGGACUCUGUUUGGUAUUCCUUUUCUGCGAAACUCAAAAAUAAGAAAAAAACAGAAAUUGGCACUGGGCUCUAGGUUAAUAGGUUAGUCACAAAAAUAAUAUAAAAUAACAUACUAAAGCAUAUAAAACAUCCAAAACAGAUAAUAUACACUAGUAUAGCGAGCUGCUAAAAAACGGUUUUUAACCCCUUUCCGCGACGACAUUUGGAACCGUCGCCAAGUGAGUGUGGGUAUAGGGGGGGUCCUUCCCACAUGACCCAGAAACCGUCGGGGAUAUGCCCUCCUGGCACACACGCUCGGUAAAAUGAGGUCGUGUGCGACCGACGAGCGCUCAAAUACAGAAAUACAUACAGUAGAGCAAAAAAACAAUUAUACGGCGAAAUUGUUUCCGGGUGCAAGUACAUCCCACACAGCCAGUCCCCGCUAAACGUUUCCGUUCGUAUGUACAUCUCACACAGUCGCUCCAAGGAAAAUGUUUCCGUUCACAGGUACAUCACACACAAAUUUUCCCGUUAAAUUGUUUGCGUUAUUGAAUGUAUCACACACGGUCCGUAGAAGAAACUGUGUGACAAAGGCUGUCCAUCACACACAGUUUUUAUGUGGUAAACGUUUCCGCAAGGUGGCCUAACGCAAACAGUUUUCAAGAGAAAGUCGUGUGUGAUUAUUCAUUGAUCCAACACGGUUUAUUCCUAGAAACUGUAUGCGUUGCCUGAGGUCAUCGCCCAUGGUAUUUUUUCAACAACCGUUUGCAAUAGCAAAACCCAAUUAGCAGGCUAAUUCGCCAUUAGCAGGCUAAUUAUCCGAUUAUUCAUAAUCCAUUUAUUAAUCUAAUUGACAUUUCAUAUUAAGCACACAAUAUAUUUCAUUUUUAUAAUUAAAAUACAUCAGAGUACAACAUCAUAUAGCUUCAGCACUCAGCUACCCCAUUACACAACUACACUAGGACCAAGUUUCACAUGCAACAUCUAUAACCCUUCGAAAUUAGCAUCAUAGACGGUAAUAGGCAGAUGUUUCUCAUCUGGAAAACUGUUGAAGCAGAAGGCGAAUAUUGAGCCUUCAUUGAUGUUGAAGGUCUUUGUAACUUUAGGCCAUUGACCGUACAUCCUUCGUCCUCUUCAGGAACACUUCAAUAUUGAACCGUGGGUGUUGUAUGAAUACCUUCCUCGCCUCCUGACCAUACAGGUGAUUUGAGAGGUAAUCAUCAGUGAACUGCUUUGGAAAGGCCUAAAAACUAGGAUGUGCAUAAAUAUCUUCUCUAUAUUGGAAAUGGGGCAAAGGAAUAAAAAAGGCAAGGUAUAAUAGUUAGUACCAUCCUGUAGUGAAUUGAUGUCUUGUUCAUUGUGCAGACAAAGAUCUUGUUGUUUUUUGUCGCUAAUUUCUUUAUCCUAACAAUCUUUCUGAGUUUCUUGACUUGACUGAUAUUCAUGGACAACUCAUUUCCCCAUAUGCAAAAAUGGUCGAACAUUGGGUCAAAACCUCUGACAGCAGGACCUACAUGUGCAAGACCAAAUUGUUAAAAACCUAAAUAUUAGAAUGGUUCCCGCAAUUGCACAAUAAUGUGCUAUUAGACAACGGACCAUGCACGUGCUAACCUCGAUUGUAAACCUCAGUGCUUCUCAUUGUUUCCCUGCAACACAUAUAUGGUAGUUAGUCAUCAGGUUAAGUAAGGGUUUGCAUGCUAUCAGUAAAAUAUGUUGAUGAAAAAUAAGCACAUUGCACAUUCACCAGAUUAAUUCAAGCCACACGGAAAACCCAUUUAUCCAAACCAAUCAUGAUUAAUAACUAGGAAAUAUAGCACUUGUAUAUGUUUCUCAUGUAUUAAGUGCAGCCAAAUUCGAUUUAUUCCUCACAUGCACAAUAAUACAUAAUUCUACCCACGAGAAUUGGACAUCGCAUUGCAGAAUUGAACCAAGUAGUUAACUAAACAUCACAACAAAUGAACCAAUAUUAACUGAGCACCACAUUGCACAAUAUAACAUACUCCUAAUAGAAGAUUAGACAAUUAACCAAACAGUUAACUACAGACAAUUGUAGCAAUUGUAUUUGUUUCUCAUGUAUUUACUAUAGCCAAAUUUAAUUUAUUCCUCACAUGGUAUACAAUAACAGAAUGCACCCACAACUAUUGAACAUCGCAUUGCAGAAUUGAACCAAACAGUUAACUAAACACCACAACACAAAUGAACCAAACGUUAACUGAGCAUCACAUUGUACAAUGUAUAACCAAACCAAGCAUGCCUGACAACUUGGAAAUAUAGCAAUUGUAUUCGUUUCUCAUGUAUUUUGCUAAGGUAAAUUCGAUUUAUUUCUCACAUGGAAGACAAUACAAAAUUGCAGCCUGAAGAAUUGAACAUCACAUUUGCAGAAUUGAACCAAACAGUUAACUGAAGACGACAACUAAUUAAACAAACAGUUAAUAAAUGAGCACCACACUGCACGACAUAUAGAACAUAUACACUAGAGCAACAGAUUGCAUGAUAAAAUUAGAUAGCACAAUUCACUAGAAUUUGUGAAGGAAAGGCAGGAGAAGCACUCACAACGGGUAAACCGAGCAUGCUUAACUUGCGUAGCUAGCAAAUGGCAAGGUGAUCCUUCAAGAUCUGGGGGUCGGCAUGAAUGGCAGCCAUCGCGACCUCAUCCGCGCGUGCGACCGCGAUUUGCUUCUCUGGUGCCAAAUGCUCCUUGAGAUCCUGGCUAUACCGCGUGCACCAUGGCUUAGGGCGGCGCUUAUUUGGUGGAGGGGUUGGUGAUUUGGGUGGAAGGUAUCGCGCUCGCGCCUGCGGUCGGGGCAUGCGGGAUGUGGAAGGAGGAGGAGGAUGGGGGUCGGGUGUGGAUUACCUGCCUGGAUAGGUGAGGCCGAGCAGCGUGAAGGAGGGUCGCCGGCAAGGAGGCAGCGCUGCAAGCAAGGAGUGAAGGUUUCAACUUGGAAAGGAAGGCGGAAACAGGGGAAAUGUGGCUUUUGGUAAGGGGGAGGGGGCGGGGAGGUAGAUAUUUCUGUGGAAGUCAAAAAUUUGGAAUCGCUUCAGCGAAAAAACUGGCACGCAAAGUGUCAUCAAACACGGUCCCUUAUUCAGAACUGUGUAUGAUAUGUGAACAUCAUAAAUGAUUCAGAUAGCUUAACCCAUGUGUGUUGAGUUUGAACGUUAAAAAUUUUGGUUCGAAUUUCCCUGGUUACAGUGGUCAUCCACGUCAUUGCAUAAUUUGGGUACACAAAGGAGACUAACUUCUUAAUCGAGCAAGUUCAGGAAUUAAACAGAGCUAGCUGACCUAAAAAUUACUCUAACAAAUUAAAGACCGACGCUCUUAAUUAAACAAAACAAAGAGUACUACUACGGCUGGUGCUCGUCGAUCUCCGCCGCCGCCUCCAUGUCCAGCUCACGCCCGACAGUCUCCUGGGGAAGGGGCUCCAUGGCAUCAAUUGCAUCAUACUCGGCAAGCAUCUCGCCAUCCACGUCCACCAUAUCUUUGGAAUAGGCCGCCAUGAGCUAGGCGUGGGCAGCCGCAAUCUGGGCUCUGGCGGGCUCCGUCGUGGCAAGGUAUGCCACAGAGGAACGGGCGUCUGCUCGAACUCUCUCGGCGAUUGCUAGCUCUUCGGCCGUGGGUUGCAAACUCUUUGUUAGUGGGCGGCCUCCGUUUUGGUAACAGGCAACCAGGGAAGCUUCGUUCGAUUUGUGCGGUGACCUCCACGAGCCGGGCAUGGACAACCUCGACAUGGUAGUGGGCGGCCUCCAUCAGGGCUAAGGCCGCCGCUGCGGAACAGACAGCUGCUGUGCCACUCUCGCCAGUUGCUAUCCCCUAGGCAGAUGCUGCUGCCACUGCCUGAGAAGCAACAUCGGCCGUUUGGGCUGCCUUGGCUGCCCAGACGCAGACUGCGGUCACCCUCACGAAGCUUGUUAGCACGCGCCUGGCGGCUGCGGCGGCGCUCUCGCCGGAGUGGGUCGCCGAAGUUGCCCUCACGACGUGGGUCCACGUCCCCAUCUUUCACCGGUGACGAAUGAACAGUGAAAUGAUAUUUGGGGAGUGAGCUAGUGUGCUUGACACGCCGGCUGUGGACUGUAGCCGAUGCACCUUCUCUUGUAAGCCAUAGGCAUACUAUACACCGAUGGUGCUCCAAGAUAUUUUGUGCUGCAUCUCACACGGUUGGUGAUAAUAAACUAUGUGCGAUCUACUUGAUAUAUCGUCUUGAUUUGAAUUAUGUAAUGGGGUCACAGCUGCAAAGGAUGGUGUUUGAAUUGUUAGAACUUUUAUCUGCAGCGAACAUGCAACUAUAGGUGUGUCAUCAAAAAAAUUGGAAUUAUUCAAGUCGUUUGGACAUUUUUAUAUAUUAACUUGGUUUUGUAGGCAUUUCAGGUGCAUAAUUCUAAUUUCAACUACAUGCACAUGCUCAAGUGCAUAUAAAUGGGUUGAAAAAUCAAAUAUAUAUAUCCUUGGUUGCAUGCGUAGGUCCCAUGCAAGAAAUGGGAAUGAAUGUCACACACACUGCCACCGUCACUCGACCACAAACAUUGGGAUACCUGGUUUUUAAACUCUAGUAAAUCCAAAACUCAUUUGAAAUUCAUGAAACUUGGCAUGCUAUCAUGGAGCGGCAUCAACAUGCCGUGGUAAAAAAAUUCCCAUUUGGGGCAGGUUUGGGUAUAAGCUUCUCACAAACCAGAGCUUCUCACAACAAGCGUGAUGGUUUCGGUAGGGAAAGUGCCACCUUUGGGGACGAAACGAUAUCUGUUGCCUCUUAUUGCUUUCAAAAAUUUUCGAGUGUCAACAUAGAACAACAGGAGUGUUGUGUUCAAUUUUGGAAUUUUUCGGGGUUCGUUUGGACAUUUUUAUACAUUAACAGGGUUUUCCAGGCAUUUUAUGCGCAUAAUUCAAAUUUCAACUACAUGCACAUGCUCCAGUGCAUAUAAACUAGUUGAAAAAUCAAAUAUAUGUCCUUGGUUGCAUGCUUAAGUCCCAUGCAAGAAAUGGAAAUGAAUGUCAGACACCCUUCCACCGUCACUCGGCCGCAAACAUUGAGAUACCUGGUUUUUAAAUUCUACUAAAUCCAAAACUCGUUUGAAAUUCAUGAAACUUGGCAUGCUAUCAUGGAGCGGUUUCAACAUGCCGUGGUAAAAAAAUUGUCCCAUUUGGGGCUGGUUUGGGUAUAAGCCUCUCACAAACCAGAGCUUCUCACAACAAGCGUGAUGGUUUCAGUAGGGAACGUGCUACCUUUGGGGACGAAGCGAUAUCCGUUGCCACUUAUUGCUUUCAAAAAAAUUCGAGUGUCAACAUAGAACAACAGGAGUGUUGUGUUCAAUUUUGGAAUAUUUCAGGGUUCGUUUGGACAUUUUUAUACAUUAACUGGGUUUUCCAGGCAUUUUAUGCGCAUAAUUCAAAUUUGAACUACAUGCACAUGCUCUAGUGCAUAUAAACUGGUUGAAGAAUCAAAUAUCUGUCCUUGGUUGCAUGCUUAGGUCCCAUGCAAGAAAUGGAAAUGAAUGUCAGACACCCUUCCACCGUCACUCGGCCGCAAACAUUGAGAUACCUGGUUUUUAAAUUCUACUAAAUCCAAAACUCGUUUGAAAUUCAUGAAACUUGGCAUGCUAUCAUGGAGCGGCAUCAAAAUGAUGUGGUAAAUUUUUUGUCCCAUUUGGGGCAGGUUUGGGUAUAAGCUUCUCACAAACCAGAGCUUCUCACAACAAGCGUGAUGGUUUCGGUAGGGAAUGUGCCACCUUUGCAGACGAAACGAUAUCCGUUGCCUCUUAUUGCUUUCAAAAUUUUUAGAGUGUCAACCAUAGAACAGCAGGAGUGUUGUGUUCAAUUUUGGAUUUUUCAGGGUUCGUUUGGACAUUUUUAUACAUUAACUGGGUUUUUAGGCAUUUUAUGCGCAUAAUUCAAAUUUGAACUACAUGCACAUGCUCCAGUGCAUAUAAACUGGUUGAAAAAUCAAAUAUGUGUCCUUGGUUGCAUGCUUAGGUCCCAUGUAAGAAAUGAGAAUGAAUUUCAAACACCCUGCCACCGUCACUCAGCCGCAAACAUUGAGAUACCUGGUUUUUAAAUUCUAGUAAAUCCAAAACUCAUCUGAAAUUCAUGAAACUUGGCAUGCUAUCAUGGAGCGGCAUCAACAUUCCAUCGUAAUUUUUUUGUCCCAUUUGAGGCAGGUUUGGGUAUAAGCUUCUGACAAACCAGAGCUUCUCACAACAAGCGUGAUGGUUUCGGUAGGGAACGUGCCACCUUUGGGGACGAAACGAUAUCCGUUGCCUCUUAUUUCUUUCAAAAAAAAUCGAGUGUCAACAUAGAACAACAAGAGUGUUGUGUUCAAUUUUGGAAUUUUUUGGGGUUCGUUUGGACAUUUUUAUACAUUUACUGGGUUUUCCAGGCAUUUUAUGUGCAUAAUAAAAUUUGAACUACAUGCACAUUCUCCAGUGCAUAUAAACUGGUUGAAAAAUCAAAUAUGUGUCCUUGGGUGCAUGCUUAGGUCCCAUGCAAGAAAUGAGAAUGAAUUUCAAACACCCUGCCACCGUCACUCGGCCGCAAAAAUUGAGAUACCUGGUUUUUAAAUUCUAGUAAAUCCAAAACUCAUUUGAAAUUCAUGAAACUUGGCAUGCUAUCAUGGAGCGGCAUUAACAUGCCAUGGUAAAUUUUUUGUCAGCUUCCCCAGGUUUAAUUCGAUUUUUAAAUAUAAAACACUCAUCGCAAACGUUUUACUUAGAACACCCGUAUGCAAACCGACAGCUUCCCCAUAAGGGAAAAUGUGCCGAGUAGGAUUUGUGCAGCUCUUGAUCGCAAAUGUUUUAGAUAGAACUACCAUAUGCAAAGUGAGAGCAGCGCAUGAUUUGUGCAUCCCUUCAACACAAACGGUUGUUUUGGAUGACCCGUGUGCAACCACGUACAAACAAUUUGGUAAGAUUUGCAUCUGUUAUAUUGGGUAGUUUGCCAUUUGUCAAACUGGAAAGAUUUAUAUUUGUUCGUCUAGUAACGUUGCCAUUUGUCAAUCCUUGUAACACUUCGAUUUCUCAAAAUAUGCAGCUAGAAAUCAUUAGCACUAUCUAAUUUUUGCAACUAAAAUUCAGUAAUUAAUCAUAGAUUUCAUUCAUAGAUUAAGCAGUCGUUCUUAAUUUAUACAAACAGUUCAACUCGACAGCUGAACCGACCAAACUUCUCCCCAAUUGUUGCCAACCACGUACUGAAAUAGCUGCCGACAGUGGGGUGGCGGCCACGACGACCACCUCCCGCCUUCGGGCCGCGGCGGCGGGGCAGGAGAUGGCCCUGGCUUUCGAUGGUGGUGUGUAGGAUCAAAAGUACACUACUAGGAAAAGGCCUACUAAUGGCGCACUAGUUUUGCCUACUAAUGGCGCAUCACUGGUGCGCCAUUAGUAUCACGCCACUAGUAUUUAUCACUAAUGGCGCACCACUGGUGCGCCAUUAGUAUCUGGUAUACUAAUGGCGCACCACCCAGUGCGCCAUUAGUAUAGAACACCAUGCGCCAUUAGUAUGCCUCCCAGGGGCCAUAUUUAACCAUGUGCUUUGGCACACUAAUGGCGCACUGUGGGUGGAUGCGCCAUUAGUAUACUUGGCAUACUAAUGGUGCACUGUUUGGUGAUGCGCCAUUAGUAUACUUUGGCAUUCUAAUGGCGCACUCUGUAGUGACGCGCCAUUAGUAUGAAUAUUAGGUUUUAUUUUUUUUACUUUUCUGAUUUUUGCACAGGUUACAAAAUAUAUUAUUUGACAGAAUAUAGACAGUAGCACACAGCAACAACAGAUUCAUCGAAUACAAUAGAAGAUUAGUCUCUGAAUACAAUUCAUCAUAUUAGUCUCCGAAUUCAAAAGACCGAACAAAGAUAAAACAUUACAAGUCUCGAGACCGCGAGUAUCGAGUUUGUCUUCACAUUACAAGUCGAUAUCGAUCAUCUAAACUACCAUCACAUAGAAGAGAGCUGCGGUCAUCACGAUGAGCAUCAUCACGAUGAAACUGGUCUUCAUCCGGUUCCUCCAACGCUCCCUCCUCUCUCCCGCUAGAUAGCGGGCGUAUCUAGAUUCCGCCUCCGCCCUAGUGGUGUACCCUUUGUAACUGUUACCGCUGAAACGGUGAACCUGUCUCCGACACUCCUCCCAGACGUCGUAGACUCCGGGAACCUUACCCUUGUACACGACAUACAACGGCAUCUCUAUGCACAAUCCAAACAACAGACAAUACAUACAUAAGCAAUAUAUAAGUAUGCAACAAAAGGAUCGGAAGAGAAAAGCAAGACAUGACAUUAAUAGCAUGAUUCAUGGUCCUACUAAUAAAUAGCAUCGAUUACAUCUAAGUUGAACGACUGUCCAAACCAAAGAGACAUACAAGUUCAUUAAAGUUUAAUUACAACAUGAGCCAAUCAAUGUUUCAGAACUACACAUAGCAUCACUACUGUCGACUCGACUCAUGGGACCGGAGCAUGGAUGAAGCCGCUGUCUGUCGUGAUGGACAUGAAAUCACGGGUGAUGUCAGCCUGCAUUUGUAGCGUUCCGUCUAUCUCCCUGUUGGACGGUUGAUAUUUGAGGUAGAACUACCCCGAGGUAUGAAGGACAUCUUGAUGGAUGAUGUCCGCAAACUCCAACUGGAUGCAAAAGAAUUCUUGUCUGACGUCCGUGUCCUGGAUUGCCGACAAGCUCGCGGCCCAAUCUUGGAGAUUAUUUGGUAGCAGAAGGUGAUGAUGGUCCCAUACGAUCGCCCGCAUGUGAUGGAGGGCGUAGUAGGAAUCCUUCUGGCCGCCAGGCGGCUGCUUGACGCAGCAGAACAUCAUAUUGUGGGUGAACACGUGCUUGCCGUACUUACGAACUGCCCUGGUGAAGGUGCCUCCAGAUUUGGCGUAGCCGGGGAGAACAUCAUCAAGAACUUUAUUGAUAUUUGUGUAGUCUAUCUUGGAGUUACGGUUCGGGUCGAAAUACGUGGCCAUGGAAUAUUUCGGGCUUAAGAGGAUGAGUGUGCAAUGUGUGUCACUGCACAGAACACGGAAUGUUAGAAAAAAAAGAAUGAUCAAAAUCUAAGAAAUCAUAUGUUACGGGGCGGUUAAGGGAUGACUUACUCAGGAAAGUAAGCCACAAGGAAGUUAUCCUUAUCUGGGUUUGCCAGAAUGACGCCUUCGAGGUGUGAACUCGCGACUUGGCGGUCCCCAGCGCUGCUCAAGAGCUUCGCACACAUGUAGAAGGGGUCGAAGAUCAUGAUGUUCGGGGUCUUGUCUCUAAUGAUGCGCAUCUCCAUACUCAGCGAAAACAGCCGAACGAAGGUGUAGUGCAGCGGAUGAAGGUUAAACAUAGCAAAGAUGUCAUCAAACCACAGGACGAUCGUACCCCCGAUGUCGCCAUCCACAAAGCCCUUGCCCUCUGGCACCUUGGCCACGAAAACCGGGUAUGCCACAUCAUUCUCUCUUAGACACCGCUUCUCCAAAGAAAGAACACUGUCGUGCAGACUCCGCAUAGCACCGGUUGCAGCAUUGAGCAUAUUUGUCGGUAGCAUCGCCCUACCCGCCACAUGCACCCUCCUCGAGAUAUCCUUAGGUGAAGGUGGCCCGUCCUGAGCACGGAUCGUACUCGGUGCUAGCUGGCUCGCACCGGCGCCCUUUUUAGUCUGCCGUUUCCGGCUCUUCUUCUUGAUCUGUUGUAAUGGGACUGAGUUCUGCUCAAAGACCGCCUUCUUGAGCGUGUUGGGGCUGAUAAUAUUUCGCACCUCAGCUAUCUGAGGCUCAGUGAAGGCGGCAGCUGGAGGCGUUUCCUGAGAACUGAACGCCAGACGAUGCCUGUUGCAACUGGGUUUCUCCGAUGUACCAGCUAGAUCGUGGUCGUCUUGGUUGGGUUCUUGAGAAGGAGGCCCGCAGAACUCGUCAUCGUACCCAUGUUCGGCAAAGUACUUAUCGACGUUGGUAAAUGUACCGUUGUCGUCGUCGUUCGGAUCUUGUGCCAUAAGCAUGUCCGGAUCCUGUGCCAUAGGGAUGUCCGGCAUGUCCGGUAGCGUUGCGGCAUUCUUGCCAUGGCUUGGCGCCGACACAUCUGGCGGUCUUGUCUGUGGGGUGGUGUCCCCCGCCCCCAAACGAAUCUGGCUCUUCGGCCAAAGCAUAGGCCAACUUACGCAGGCGCUGAGGGUCAUCGCAUCUUCUUCAUCGGCCCUAGCGGGUCGAAUCGGAGGUAACAGCUCGUCACAGCCUGGCAGCACCCGAACCACUUCAACCCUAUAUAUUGUGGGUGGCAUCGGAUUAUCGUGGAACACGGGGUUGCCCGGUUGAACGAUUCUGCCCUUGGCAACAUCGACCAAAUCGCCGCCCACGAAGUGUAGGAGAGUGCAAGGAACGUCGGCGGCGCCCUGCGAAAACAUGUAGGGCAUCAGGUAUGCCCAGUCAAAGGCAAGGAGAUGAAGUCAUCGGCCAAGAGGCUUAGUUACCGUGAUGCCGUCGAGCUCGGCUAAUGUCGAGGCACCGCCAACGGCGGGCGUGCAACUGACGGAGGGGGCGCUUGCUGGCGAGGUGCCGACCGACGUACACCCGGGUGCAUUAAGCUCCAAUGCCCGUGCCAGCGCCGGAGACACGAAUACCGCCUCCGCCGGAGACACCAAUGGCGCCGCCUGCGCGCUGUGCGAGUUGCUGGCCGUGAAGCUGGGAACCGGGGGAGGCCCCUGUUGGCCGCCCACAAUCCACGUCGUCAGCCCAUGAAUCAACAUAUGCACCAUGGCGUUGAGCUUCGUUCCCAGUUGUUGUUCCACUUGCUCUUGGACAAGCUCCGGAAUCCGCGCCACUUGUGCCUUGAGUGCUUCAACCUCGCGUGACUGUCUUUCCGAGCUGGUCUUUUUCUCCUUUCGCCCACCAGCGGUAUAGUAUGACGACCAUUUUGUGGACAAGCCUUUGCCGGCCACACGACCAGCUGACGUCGGCUUAUUGAGCUUAUCCCCAUUUUUCAUUACGUUCAACGCCCUAUUCAAAGGGGUGUCGAAAGGGGAGCUCUGAGACGACCCCGCGCUACUGCUUUCUUUGUCCUGCGGAAGGAACACGAACCAUUUAGAAAUAUUGGGGAUUAAUUAGAAUGCAACCAUAUGGAGCUAAUUACGCGGGGGUGUAUUCCUUACCAGAACAAGCUCAAGCUCCUUGGUCUUCGGAUCCGUGGUAAGCUCCUUUGUUACCGGGUCCUCCUUGUACCGGGUCCUGAGAAAGUUCCUGGUCUGCUUGUCACUGUAUUUCUCGAAGCGGGGCGGUAGGCCUUGCUCGGCACGCUCCGCGUCCUCCUUGUCCCAUAUAGGCUCCGCCACUCUGUAACCGCCGGGACCGAGUUGGUGGACCCCUAAGUUCAACUGCCGCAUUUCUUUCCCCCACUGACUUGAUUCGGAGGUUGCGGGGCUCUCGCACUUGAUCUUGAACUCCUUGUAGUCAUCUUCGCUCAUCAAAGGAUAUUUCACCUUGAUCUUUUCAUAACUAUCACCUUUAUCAAUCAUUGCCUUCACCGUGCUUCUCCAAGUAGACAGGGCCGUGCUCAUCUUCGUGAGGGCGGCAUUGUUCACUUUAUUCCCUGAGAGGCAUGUGUUUGCAAACUCAGCGGGGAACUUGUAUCGUUCGUGCAGCUUCGUGAAGAGUAGGCUGCGCAAAUUCCCUCGGUCCUUAUGCCUUAGGUUCUCGGUGUUGAUCGAGAUGGUGCUCCGAAGAAUGCACCCAAGCUGAACCGAGUACCCCUUGACUACUUGUUUGGGCGUCGUCGGUUGCCCGUCGGAGUUCACUUCAGUAAAUUCCUCCUUGACGGUGCCGAGCACGCUCAGGCGCCGGUCCUUCCGUUGCCUCUUCGGUUGGCUGCCAUCUGUGCAUGCGCCACCAUCAUCAGUGGUGGCAUCCUCGGCGGCGCCAUCAGUGGUGUCAUCCCCGACGCCAGUAGUGGUUGUGUAGUCAGUUUCGGUGUCUUCCGCAGUGUCCUCAUAGCGGUGAGGUUAUUCCUCCAACUCCUGGGACAGCUCCCAGAAUGGCUUGCCGCCCAAACCGCCGGCCUCAUCAUUGUGGGCCAUGUUUCGCUCUAAAUAGGAAAAAAAUUUGGUCAAAAAGUUGGUUAUUGUCAAGGAACAAGAUCAUGGUCUCAUCAUUUAGGGUUUGUCGACACCGAGGCAUCCUAAAAGCUAAGCUUUUAUCAUUUAGCGUUUGUCGACGCCGAGGCACCCUAAAAGCCUAAGCGUACUAAUCACUUGUCUCUAUUGCCACCUAUGUUGGGUUUAUCAUCUAGGGUUUAUCGAUGCUAAGGAGAAUUCUAAGUUGGGCCUAAUCACUUGGCUCUAUUGCCACCUAUGGUUUAAUGCAGCAAGAAUGGCGGGGCAGUUCAUCCUACUUAACUAAGUACUAAGAUACCCCGGCCCAUGCAUUAGUCGCAAGUACCCCAUAUGUCCUAUUUUUAGCAAAGUCAUGCUAAAAUUCACGGAAAAUUUCUGCAUGACCUUUGCUAAAAAUAGGACAUAUGGAGUACCCGAAUUUGCCGGAACGGAAGUUAAUCGACAUUCCGGCAAACUCAAGGGCCUCUCCAGGUAGCUGCAAAUUCAUCACGACACAAUGGUCGGAGACGAAACCCAGCCACAGACCAUAUGGUCCUCUGCUUUCAUAUGGACAAAAAUCAGCUCAACUUAUGUGAGCUUCCAUUCCAGAUAUAAUAGGUCACCCAACAAAAAAUCAUCAAUAGUUUAGCAAGUCUGUACAAACACAGAAAGAAUAGAAAGUUUGCUGCCUAUUCAAACACAGAAACAAAA